rnacentral:rRNA from 1 species
GACGAACGCUGGCGGCGUGCUUAACACAUGCAAGUCGAACGGAAAGGCCCUGCGUUUGUUUGGUGCUCGUUUGGCGCGCGGGGGAGUAACACGUGAGUAACCUGCCCUUGACUGUGGGAUAACUUCAGGAAACUGGGGCUAAUACCGGGUAGGAGCUCCUGCUGCAUGGUGUUGGUUGGUAAGUUUCGGCGGUUGGGGAUGGACUCGCUGCUUAUCAGCUUGUUGGUGGGGUAGUUGCUUACCAAGGUUUUGACGGGUAGCCCGCCUGAGAGGGUGAACGGGCACCAUGGGACUGCGAGACGCACCAGACUGGUAUGGGAGGCAGCAGGGGGGAAUCUUGCACAAUGGGGGGAAGCGUGUGGCAGCAGCGCCGCGUGCGGGAUGCCGGCCUUCGGGUUGAAAACAGAUGUCGAAGGUGAUGAAGACUGAGUGACGGUACUGGGUAAAGAAGCAACGGCUAACUACGUG